rnacentral:tRNA from 1 species
GUCAGGAUGGCCGAGUGGUCUAAGGCGCCAGACUCAAGGCGUUGCUUUCCCCUCUGGGGUUUCUGGUCUCGCAAUCGAGGCGUGGGUUCGAAUCCCACUCCUGACA